GAUGAAGAACGUAGCGAAAUGCGAUACGUAAUGUGAAUUGCAGAAUUCAGUGAAUCAUCGAGUCUUUGAACGCACAUUGCGCCCGCCAGUAUUCUGGCGGGCAUGCCUGUUCGAGCGUCAUUUCAACCAUCAAGCCCCCGGCUUGUGUUGGGGACCUGCGGCUGCCGCAGGCCCUGAAAACCAGUGGCGGGCUCGCUAGUCACUCCGAGCGUAGUAAUACAUCUCGCUCAGGGCGUGCUGCGGGUUCCGGCCGUUAAAAAGCCUUAUUUACCCAAGGUUGACCUCGGAUCAGGUAGGAAGACCCGCUGAACUUAAGCAUAUCAAUAAGCGGAGGA
rnacentral:misc_RNA from 1 species